rnacentral:rRNA from 1 species
GAUGAACGCUGGCGGCGUGCCUAAUACAUGCAAGUCGAGCGAACAGACGAGGAGCUUGCUCCUCUGACGUUAGCGGCGGACGGGUGAGUAACACGUGGAUAACCUACCUAUAAGACUGGGAUAACUUCGGGAAACCGGAGCUAAUACCGGAUAAUAUAUUCAACCGCAUGGUUCAAUAGUGAAAGACGGUUUUGCUGUCACUUAUAGAUGGAUCCGCGCCGCAUUAGCUAGUUGGUAAGGUAACGGCUUACCAAGGCAACGAUGCGUAGCCGACCUGAGAGGGUGAUCGGCCACACUGGAACUGAGACACGGUCCAGACUCCUACGGGAGGCAGCAGUAGGGAAUCUUCCGCAAUGGGCGCAAGCCUGACGGAGCAACGCCGCGUGAGUGAUGAAGGUCUUCGGAUCGUAAAACUCUGUUAUUAGGGAAGAAAAAAUGUGUAAGUAACUAUGCACGUCUUGACGGUACCUAAUCAGAAAGCCACGGCUAACUACGUG